rnacentral:rRNA from 1 species
GACGAACGCUGGCGGCGUGCUUAACACAUGCAAGUCGAACGGUAAGGCUCCAGCUUGCUGGGGUACACGAGUGGCGAACGGGUGAGUAACACGUGGGUGACCUGCCCUGCACUUCGGGAUAAGCCUGGGAAACUGGGUCUAAUACCGGAUAGGACCAUGGUGUGGAUACUGUGGUGGAAAGUUUUUUCGGUGUGGGAUGGGCCCGCGGCCUAUCAGCUUGUUGGUGGGGUAAUGGCCUACCAAGGCGGCGACGGGUAGCCGGCCUUAGAGGGGGGACAGGCACCAUGGGACUGAGGCACGGACCAGACUCCUGCAGGGGGCAACGGUGGGGAAUAUUGCACAAUGGGGCGAAGCCUGAUGCAGCGGCCCCGGGUGGGGGAUGACGGCCUUCGGGUUGUAAACUCCUUUCACCAUCGACGAAGGGUUUCUGACGGUAGAUGGAGAAGAAGCACCGGCUAACUACGUG